rnacentral:rRNA from 1 species
GAUUGACCUCGGAUCAGGUAGGGAUACCCGCUGAACUUAAGCAUAUCAAUAAGCGGAGGAAAAGAAACCAACAGGGAUUGCCUCAGUAACGGCGAGUGAAGCGGCAACAGCUCAAAUUUGAAAUCUGGUCCUAUGCAGGCCCCGAGUUGUAAUUUGUAGAGGGUGUUUCGGGCGCGGCGCGGGUCUAAGUCCUUUGGAACAGGGCGUCAUAGAGGGUGAGAAUCCCGUCUGCGACCCGCGACCAAGCCUGUGUGAAACCCCUUCGACGAGUCGAGUUGUUUGGGAAUGCAGCUCAAAAUGGGUGGUAAAUUUCAUCUAAAGCUAAAUACCGGCCAGAGACCGAUAGCGCACAAGUAGAGUGAUCGAAAGAUGAAAAGCACUUUGGAAAGAGAGUCAAACAGUACGUGAAAUUGUUGAAAGGGAAGCGCUUGCGACCAGACCUGUCCGCGGGCGAUCAACCUCCGUUCUCGGGGGUGCACUCGCCCGCGACCAGGCCAGCAUCGGUUCGGGCGGCCGGAUAAAGGCCUUGGGAAUGUAUCUCCCCCCGGGGAGUCUUAUAGCCCUCGGUGCAAUGCGGCCAGCCCGGACCGAGGACCGCGCUUCGGCUAGGAUGCUGGCGUAAUGGUCGUAAGCGACCCGUCUUGAAACACGGACCAAGGAGUCUAACAUCUAUGCGAGUGUUUGGGUGUCAAGCCCAUGCGCGGAAUGAAAGUGAACGGAGGUGAGACCCCUGAAGGGCGCAUCAUCGACCGAUCCAGAUGUCUUCGGAUGGAUUUGAGUACGAGCAUAGCUGUUGGGACCCGAAAGAUGGUGAACUAUGCCUGAAUAGGGUGAAGCCAGAGGAAACUCUGGUGGAGGCUCGCAGCGGUUCUGACGUGCAAAUCGAUCGUCAAAUUUGGGUAUAGGGGCGAAAGACUAAUCGAACC